rnacentral:rRNA from 1 species
AUUGUAGUCUGCAACUCGACUACAUGAAGCUGGAAUCGCUAGUAAUCGCGAAUCAGCAUGUCGCGGUGAAUACGUUCCCGGGUCUUGUACACACCGCCCGUCACACCAUGGGAGUUGGUAACGCCCGAAGCCAGUGGCCCAACCUUAAGAGGAGGGAGCUGUCGAAGGUGGGACCGAUAAUUGGGGUGAAGUCGUAACAAGGUACC